GAUCCAUCGUUGGUUAGAUAAUCGAGAGACCUUGUAACCUGCCUGCUGCAGUUUACCAUCGCAACAGUAGAAGUCUGCGAAUAACAAGAAGAGUGCCCUAAGCCAUCCCGAUCAGGGCAAAAUUUGAUCUUUUGUCUGCUAGAAUUUUUAUAAAACCACUACACUUACAACACAAACAAGAAGCCAAGAACCAUCAUCAUCAUCAUCGAUCGCGGCUUCCCAGCAGCCGAUCGAUGCUGAUUGCGCGUUGACUCUCGCGAGCGCGUAAUCUCCUAGCGAACUGCACGCACAUUUGGAACACAUGCACAUGAUAUUGGGCAAUUUUAAAAUCGAAGGCCGAUCAUUGAUUGAUUACCCUAGCACGUGAGCACAUUUAGCACAGACCUGUAAUCAUGUCUCAGGUAAAACCACAUUUACAUACCGGAUCAGCAUAAUCCAUGCCAGCACCAAACCAAUUUCCCGAGGGGGAAAUCAAGCCGAGCAGUUUGAGCCACCCUAGCGACGCCCCGGUACUCACUCUCCAAUCUCUUAUCGGCCGACGUCAACCAGAGCCGUGAGAGAUAACACGCGGCGCGAUCGGCCAACCAAUAUAGCCGAUCGUCGCCCGCAGAUCAUCAUCAGUCACUGGUUCAGCAUCAAAGAGACCGCCUCGAUCGUCGACCCGUCAAGUGUUCCGCCAGACGAUUGGCCAGCAGAAGUUUCGCUUAUUGUGUUUUCUUGUGGUGAAAACCGUCUCACCAGUGAUAAGGAUAUCGGCGUGGAAAAUUAACCGCACUGGAGUGCGAGGUGCCGCGAUACCGAAAAUUGGUCGCGGUGGAGAGGGAGGUGGCGUCUACUAUCAGCAUGGAAAGCAUGGCCAUGCUGGAGUAGUUGGAUAACUUGAGAUCGGUAAGAUUCAGCUGUGAAAUCGUCUCUAAAAUAAGUCCCAAAAUGUGCUUUUGAUCGUCGAAUGUGUUCUAAUUGUUCUGUCUGCCAUUGUGCAGGCCUUCAUUUCCUGUUUCACAAGCUGAAUUCCAUCAUGGCUGGAGCCGUGGUGUGGAGCAGUGCGCUGCUGUGCAUUCCUGCCGACUGGACGGCGGGGCUAAUGCACCGGAUGGCCGGCGUUCUCGCCGGUGACCAAGCUGGGUUCUGCCCGGGCAGCAACGUUGUUCCGGAUCGUCGAGGGAUACACGGGGGUCACACACACACACACACACACACAGGUUUACACCCGCAACUCUAGUUUUAAGGACGCCAACUAGGUUUAGUUCGCCAAUAUAGAUGUAAGUACGCUAAAAUCCCCUCUUUUAUUUCUGUGUAGGUUGAAUUUAUCCGUGUCUUGGGAGGGCUGGUUGAUUAUCUGGGAUUCUGUUGGAAUUCGACCCAUUUUUAUUGUUUGCUGUGUUCUUUUGCAUCUGUGCAGGAAAUGGUACUCCUGCUAUUCAAUAGUACUCCAUCUUGUCUCAUGCUCGCACUUUCCCCGGAAAUGGGGAGGUGACAACCUUUCCAA